AGCGAACGCUGGCGGCAGGCCUAACACAUGCAAGUCGAACGGAUCCUUCGGGAUUAGUGGCGGACGGGUGAGUAACACGUGGGAACGUGCCCUUUGGUUCGGAACAACUCAGGGAAACUUGAGCUAAUACCGGAUGUGCCCUUCGGGGGAAAGAUUUAUCGCCAUUGGAGCGGCCCGCGUCUGAUUAGCUAGUUGGUGAGGUAACGGCCCACCAAGGCGACGAUCAGUAGCUGGUCUGAGAGGAUGAUCAGCCACACUGGGACUGAGACACAGCCCAGACUCCUACGGGAGGCAGCAGUGGGGAAUCUUGCGCAAUGGGCGAAAGCCUGACGCAGCCAUGCCGCGUGAAUGAUGAAGGUCUUAGGAUUGUAAAAUUCUUUCAGCGGGGACGAUAAUGACGGUACCCGCAGAAGAAGCUCCGGCUAACUUCGU
rnacentral:rRNA from 1 species